UGAAGGACAACUUCUUGUUGCUCCAUGGGUAGCCUGAAAACACGGUAAAGAUAGCAUUGGGGUUUUAUUGAGCCAUUGCACAUGAAUAUGAAACCACAUUUUUCUUCUUCUUCUUCUUCUUGUGAUUUCUUCAUUUUCUUUCCCAUUUUCUUGGGGACAAGAGUUCCCAAAUUAAAUCCGAAUAAGGGCACAAAAACAAAGCAACAAACUUUUACAGUUAGUGACAGACCAAAUUACUCCAAUAAGCGAUGGGUCUACUCAGGGCAAGCAUCAAUCAUCUUGGACUUCACAAUGGUGGCUACCCAAAAAUUAUACUGCCAAACGUCCGAAUACAUUCAUAUAUGAUUCUCUCUUAUUUUUUAUUGAUGAACAUUUCUACAAGUCUUUAUCAUCUAUAAUCAUUUUUAAUUGAUUUAAGUUUGAGAAUUUGAUGAUCCAAGUUUUUUUAUUCUCUAUAAUUUAUACCAUUUAUCUUCUUUUAUCCAUCCAUACCUCCAUUCAUUAUACUUUUUUAGUUUUUUCAAUUAACUUCCAACCAAAAGAUUUGGUGAUGAUGAAUCCUUCUCCUCCUCGACGCAUAGUGGGUCUUCGCAGGGUCCGACAGUGACGAUGGAUUCUUCUUCUUCUUCUUCACCUCAGCACACUGUGGAUGACGACUUGGGUUCAGGGCUCGCACUUGGCUUAGAGACUAUGUUUGCUGAUCAUGGACACUUCUCGUAACUUUGAACAUCAUUAUAACAAUACUUUAUCAUAUUUUAAUCUCAUUUUCAGUGGAUGUCUAAUCUAACAAGGGAAUUUCAACUCCCAAUGUAUUUUCCUACUGCAGAUUGCUUUCACCUUUCUUGUUUAUCCAGCACUUAUUUUGGCAUACAUGGGCCAAGCUGCUUAUUUAUCACAUCAUCACCACUCCAAACAUAGUAUCUAUUUUUUUGUCUCAGUUCCUGAAUGCGUAAGGUGGCCAGUUCUUGUUGUAGCUAUUCUUGCUUCAAUUGUUGGAAGCCAAGCAAUCAUCAGUGGAACAUUAUCUAUCAUAAAUCAAAGCCAGUUGAUUGGAUGAUUCCCAAGAGUCAAGGUCGUUCACACUUCUGACAAGAUUCAUGGUCAGAUAUAUAUUCCAGAAAUCAAUUGGAUUCUCAUGAUCCUUUGCAUUGCUGUAACAAUUGGAUUUAGAGACACUAAACACAUGGGAAAUGCAUCAGGUAACUUGUACAUUUUCACUAGUCUCAUACUGAAAACAGUUAAAUUUAUUUUCUUACCUCUGAUAACUUUAUCUGGGCCCAAGGAGUCCAUUGUUAUUGUCCAACUAAGAGAAGAAAUAUAUUACUACUCUAGUUUUAAUUUGACUCUUCAUCAAUUUGUUUAUUCGUAUUAUUUCAAAGUUGAAUUGUUUAUAGAUUUCUCAAUACCAAGUUUGCAAUCAUCAUCUUUUUAUUAAAUUGAAAUUUAUGUAUGAUUAUAGUAAAUUGAUUUAAAUUUAGGCCUGUACAAUUUUUAGGCAAUUUGUCAUUGUGUGUUAAUAACUUUGACUCUCUUUCUUACUCCAUCAUUCUAGCUUCUGAAAUGACUGAUUUGUUCUAUCUAGUUAAGUUUUUUUCUUAAUUAUAUAAAUGUUAUCUUUUUAUUUCCCUAUUUGGAUGGGCUCCUUUAUUAAUAAUUUUUAUAGCUAUGUUCUUUUGACAGUUGGUUGAUUUAACCUCAAAAAUACCUCCACCGACACAAACUAUAAAUAAAGUAAAAAUAAGAAAAGAUCAAAACUUUCCACCAACUCAGACUUGAUGCCCUUAAAAGUUCCUUACUUUCUUCCUUUUAUUUGAAGUAGGUCUCAUGUCCCCUUCUAUUGGCUGGAAUUUGUAUUUUAAACAUGCUUUAGUAAAACUCUUUGAAGAGGAAGCUAUAUAUUCAUAUGAUAUUUACUCUGCUUUUUUUUGCUCGAUUCGUAUAGACUAAUCUAUGUUAUCAAUAAGGUAUCAAGUUUGAGAAAAUGACUCAACAAGUGUGAGCAAGGAGCAUUGCAAAGUUAAUUAACUUGAUUAUUAAUUGCAAGAGGUACGGAAGUGUGUUCUCUUAACUUUUUUGUUAAUAUCAUACAAAUGUUAGAGGAGUUUGAAUAUCUUAAAUAUUCAUUCGUAGAGAAGUAGAUUCUGAGAUUAAAAUUGUGUGCUACGGUGAUAAAGUAAGGUUGAAAAUUUGUGUCUUAGAGAAGUAGGUUCUGGAAAAUUUGUUUGUGUAUUGCGGUGAUAUAAGGAAGAAAACUUAUUGUGUGUUGUUUGAAUUUUUUUACUUGGUAUUGAUAGAUUGUUAGGUAAGCUUUUAUAUGGGAAAUGAUGUCAGAUCUUAUCUAGAAUUAUGUAUUAUCUUCUUACAAAUAAAUUGUGUUUGUUUGAAUUGGUUUGAUUAUAUUGAUAGAUAUCUCGCCUGGAGUGUGAAUAAGGAUAGUUUUCACGUCCCCAACCUUAGGGUUUGAAUAAUAAAACAUUAUACAUAUGAGUUGUGAUUGGAAAAACGCAUAAUCUGAUAAUGCCUCCAUGAGUUCUAAGUCAAAUAUAAUUACCCAAAACAAUAGUUUGGUUUCCCUCCCCUAUCAUUUUUAGAAGAUCCACCUUACUUCCAUAGUAAAGUUCACAUUCAGCUCUAUGACCAUUUGAGUAUGCAUAUGCAACACAUGAACAAGUGCUCCUACACAGUAGCUCACAGCUGUUUAGACCAAUAGCAGUAGCCCUUAGAAUGGUUAUUGAAGUUGGCGUUAGUCCUUAUAUCUCAUAGAAAUCAUCACCAUUUUCACAAACUAAUGGAAUGAUCAAACAACCACUAAAUUCCUCUCUGCUGUGCCAUCACAAACGAAUAGUUGACCAUUAAAAUUUGCUGAUCUUCCAUCCUAUACUCCUUGAUAACCCCAUUAUGAGCCAUGAAAAACCAUGAAUACACAUUGCUAAGUGUCAGCUAAGUGCUUUUUCUUCAAUAUUUUCCUCUGUGGACACCAUAACAGCCAUAAAGAGUUAUAUAGCUUCAACCCCAUUACUGAAAUUGACAAAGAAAAGAAACCAGGAUUAUUUUUUCUCUAAAGUAAGAAGACAUACUUAUUCCACUAGAUGAUACCUAAACAAGAAGAAAAGAACAACAUCAGAAUCACCAAGAUCAGAAUAUUCUGGCGAAACUAGACAAUAUUGUUUGAGCGCUCAAUUAUCCAAAGUUGCCCCUUCCAAUUGAAGCAACCAAAUAAACUAAUAAUAAUACAAAUGAAUAAUAUUUUUGAGAAUACAUAUUCUAAUUCACUUUCACAUUACGAGGGAAUAAAGAUGAAUAAGAUUCAAAAAUGACAACUCGUUCGUAAGAAUAUAGUAUAUGACAAAUCGUCAUUAUACAUAUAAUUAAAGAAUGCGUCAAAAAAAGAAUGACAGUCCGCAGCAUAUAUUAAACUGUCACUUUUAUUUUUAUUCAUUAUUUGCAAAAAAUAAAAAAUAAAAAAUACAGGUUCACAUAAUGACCAGUCGUUUUCAUUGAACAAAAAGACUGUAAGCUUACUGAAAUAAAACUCGAAAUUUAAAGAACUCCAUACAAACUUCGAUACGUAAUAAUAAGUGUCCUAUACUUAAAAAAAAAGUUCAAAAACCAUAUCUCAUAAAGACAUGUACUGUGUACAUAUGUAUAUGUAAUGAGUAGGGUUUUUUUGUUAUCAUAAAGACAUGUACUGUGAAAACUUUGGAAGGCAAGGAAUGAUAUUGUGUAGAAUAACAGUAGGACUCGAAAGGAAACAAUAAUUGCUUCAGCUAGAGCUUAUUUUGAUCAAUGGAAGGUAGCUCAAGAGAAGAAUGUGGAAGACCUGGUUGUAACAAAUGGGCUUGCACAGGUGAAUGAGCAUUGAACUAAACUAGUUAAUGGUAGGAUCAAAAUCAAUGUUGAUGCAACUUUAUUUGAGUCUGGUGGUUUUUUUGGUAUUGGCUGGGUGGCUAGAGAUGUAGAGGGUACUUUGAUUGAGGCGUGUCAUCGUUUGUACAGAGAUGUUACUCACCCUCUUCUGGCUGAAGCAAUUGGGGUGAAGGAGGUGUUGAGGUUGAUUAUGAAUUGAGGUUGGACAAAUGUGGAUGUGGAGUCUAAUCUGGCUGUUACUGUGGUUGCUAUAAAUAACAGCAGUAAACUUGUUUCUCCUCUUGGGAUUGUAGUUCAGGAUUGUAAAAUUUUUAUCUCUUGUUAUUACUCUGUCAUUGUAAAUGUUGUCAAAUGGUCUGAGAAUAAGGCUGCUCAUUUGGUC